GAUGAACGCUGGCGGCGUGCUUAACACAUGCAAGUCGAACGAUGAAGCCCAGCUUGCUGGGUGGAUUAGUGGCGAACGGGUGAGUAACACGCGAGUAACCUGCCCUUAACUCUGGGAUAAGCCUGGGAAACUAGGUCUAAUACCGGAUAGGAGCGUCCAUCGCAUGGUGGGUGUUGGAAAGAUUUAUCGGUUUUGGAUGGACUCGCGGCCUAUCAGCUUGUUGGUGAGGUAAUGGCUCACCAAGGCGACGACGGGUAGCCGGCCUGAGAGGGUGACCGGCCACACUGGGACUGAGACACGGCCCAGACUCCUACGGGAGGCAGCAGUGGGGAAUAUUGCACAAUGGGCGAAAGCCUGAUGCAGCGACGCCGCGUGAGGGAUGACGGCCUUCGGGUUGUAAACCUCUUUCAGUAGGGAAGAAGCGAAAGUGACGGUACCUGCAGAAGAAGCACCGGCUAACUACGUG
rnacentral:rRNA from 1 species